rnacentral:rRNA from 1 species
UACGGAGGGGGCUAGCGUUGUGCGGAAUGACUGGGCGUAAAGCGCACGUAGGCGGCUUUGUAAGUUAGAGGUGAAAGCCCAGGGCUUAACCCUGGAAUUGCCUUUAAGACUGCAUCGCUAGAAUCGUGGAGAGGUGAGUGGAAUUCCGAGUGUAGAGGUGAAAUUCGUAGAUAUUCGGAAGAACACCAGUGGCGAAGGCGACUCACUGGACACGUAUUGACGCUGAGGUGCGAAAGCGUGGGGAGCAAACAGG